rnacentral:rRNA from 1 species
UACGAAGGGGGCUAGCGUUGUUCGGAAUUACUGGGCGUAAAGCGCACGUAGGCGGGUUGUUAAGCCAGGGGUGAAAUCCUGGAGCUCAACUCCAGAACUGCCUUUGAUACUGGCAACCUAGAGACUGGAAGAGGUUAGUGGAAUUCCCAGUGUAGAGGUGAAAUUCGUAGAUAUUGGGAAGAACACCAGUGGCGAAGGCGGCUAACUGGUCCAGCACUGACGCUGAGGUGCGAAAGCGUGGGGAGCAAACAGG